rnacentral:rRNA from 3 species
GGGUUGUGAGGUUAAGCGACUAAGCGUACACGGUGGAUGCCCUGGCAGUCAGAGGCGAUGAAGGACGUGCUAAUCUGCGAUAAGCGUCGGUAAGGUGAUAUGAACCGUUAUAACCGGCGAUUUCCGAAUGGGGAAACCCAGUGUGAUUCGUCACACUAUCAUUAACUGAAUCCAUAGGUUAAUGAGGCGAACCGGGGGAACUGAAACAUCUAAGUACCCCGAGGAAAAGAAAUCAACCGAGAUUCCCCCAGUAGCGGCGAGCGAACGGGGAGCAGCCCAGAGCCUGAAUCAGUGUGUGUGUUAGUGGAAGCGUCUGGAAAGGCGCGCGAUACAGGGUGACAGCCCCGUACACAAAAAUGCACAUACUGUGAGCUCGAUGAGUAGGGCGGGACACGUGGUAUCCUGUCUGAAUAUGGGGGGACCAUCCUCCAAGGCUAAAUACUCCUGACUGACCGAUAGUGAACCAGUACCGUGAGGGAAAGGCGAAAAGAACCCCGGCGAGGGGAGUGAAAAAGAACCUGAAACCGUGUACGUACAAGCAGUGGGAGCACGCUUAGGCGUGUGACUGCGUACCUUUUGUAUAAUGGGUCAGCGACUUAUAUUCUGUAGCAAGGUUAACCGAAUAGGGGAGCCGAAGGGAAACCGAGUCUUAACUGGGCGUUAAGUUGCAGGGUAUAGACCCGAAACCCGGUGAUCUAGCCAUGGGCAGGUUGAAGGUUGGGUAACACUAACUGGAGGACCGAACCGACUAAUGUUGAAAAAUUAGCGGAUGACUUGUGGCUGGGGGUGAAAGGCCAAUCAAACCGGGAGAUAGCUGGUUCUCCCCGAAAGCUAUUUAGGUAGCGCCUCGUGAAUUCAUCUCCGGGGGUAGAGCACUGUUUCGGCAAGGGGGUCAUCCCGACUUACCAACCCGAUGCAAACUGCGAAUACCGGAGAAUGUUAUCACGGGAGACACACGGCGGGUGCUAACGUCCGUCGUGAAGAGGGAAACAACCCAGACCGCCAGCUAAGGUCCCAAAGUCAUGGUUAAGUGGGAAACGAUGUGGGAAGGCCCAGACAGCCAGGAUGUUGGCUUAGAAGCAGCCAUCAUUUAAAGAAAGCGUAAUAGCUCACUGGUCGAGUCGGCCUGCGCGGAAGAUGUAACGGGGCUAAACCAUGCACCGAAGCUGCGGCAGCGACGCUGAUGCGUUGUUGGGUAGGGGAGCGUUCUGUAAGCCUGUGAAGGUGUGCUGUGAGGCAUGCUGGAGGUAUCAGAAGUGCGAAUGCUGACAUAAGUAACGAUAAAGCGGGUGAAAAGCCCGCUCGCCGGAAGACCAAGGGUUCCUGUCCAACGUUAAUCGGGGCAGGGUGAGUCGACCCCUAAGGCGAGGCCGAAAGGCGUAGUCGAUGGGAAACAGGUUAAUAUUCCUGUACUUGGUGUUACUGCGAAGGGGGGACGGAGAAGGCUAUGUUGGCCGGGCGACGGUUGUCCCGGUUUAAGCGUGUAGGCUGGUUUUCCAGGCAAAUCCGGAAAAUCAAGGCUGAGGCGUGAUGACGAGGCACUACGGUGCUGAAGCAACAAAUGCCCUGCUUCCAGGAAAAGCCUCUAAGCAUCAGGUAACAUCAAAUCGUACCCCAAACCGACACAGGUGGUCAGGUAGAGAAUACCAAGGCGCUUGAGAGAACUCGGGUGAAGGAACUAGGCAAAAUGGUGCCGUAACUUCGGGAGAAGGCACGCUGAUAUGUAGGUGAAGUCCCUCGCGGAUGGAGCUGAAAUCAGUCGAAGAUACCAGCUGGCUGCAACUGUUUAUUAAAAACACAGCACUGUGCAAACACGAAAGUGGACGUAUACGGUGUGACGCCUGCCCGGUGCCGGAAGGUUAAUUGAUGGGGUCAGCGCAAGCGAAGCUCUUGAUCGAAGCCCCGGUAAACGGCGGCCGUAACUAUAACGGUCCUAAGGUAGCGAAAUUCCUUGUCGGGUAAGUUCCGACCUGCACGAAUGGCGUAAUGAUGGCCAGGCUGUCUCCACCCGAGACUCAGUGAAAUUGAACUCGCUGUGAAGAUGCAGUGUACCCGCGGCAAGACGGAAAGACCCCGUGAACCUUUACUAUAGCUUGACACUGAACAUUGAGCCUUGAUGUGUAGGAUAGGUGGGAGGCUUUGAAGUGUGGACGCCAGUCUGCAUGGAGCCGGCCUUGAAAUACCACCCUUUAAUGUUUGAUGUUCUAACGUUGACCCGUGAUCCGGGUUGCGGACAGUGUCUGGUGGGUAGUUUGACUGGGGCGGUCUCCUCCUAAAGAGUAACGGAGGAGCACGAAGGUUGGCUAAUCCUGGUCGGACAUCAGGAGGUUAGUGCAAUGGCAUAAGCCAGCUUGACUGCGAGCGUGACGGCGCGAGCAGGUGCGAAAGCAGGUCAUAGUGAUCCGGUGGUUCUGAAUGGAAGGGCCAUCGCUCAACGGAUAAAAGGUACUCCGGGGAUAACAGGCUGAUACCGCCCAAGAGUUCAUAUCGACGGCGGUGUUUGGCACCUCGAUGUCGGCUCAUCACAUCCUGGGGCUGAAGUAGGUCCCAAGGGUAUGGCUGUUCGCCAUUUAAAGUGGUACGCGAGCUGGGUUUAGAACGUCGUGAGACAGUUCGGUCCCUAUCUGCCGUGGGCGCUGGAGAACUGAGGGGGGCUGCUCCUAGUACGAGAGGACCGGAGUGGACGCAUCACUGGUGUUCGGGUUGUCAUGCCAAUGGCACUGCCCGGUAGCUAAAUGCGGAAGAGAUAAGUGCUGAAAGCAUCUAAGCACGAAACUUGCCCCGAGAUGAGUUCUCCCUGACUCCUUGAGAGUCCUGAAGGAACGUUGAAGACGACGACGUUGAUAGGCCGGGUGUGUAAGCGCAGCGAUGCGUUGAGCUAACCGGUACUAAUGAACCGUGAGGCUUAACCUUACAACGCCGAAGCUGUU